UCCUACGGGAGGCAGCAGUAAGGAAUAUUGGACAAUGGGNGAAANCNUGAUCCAGCCAUGCCGCGUGGUGGAUGACGGCCCUCUGGGUUGUAAACACCUUUUAUGUGGGGAUAAUGUGGUUCUAUACGAACCAUUGCAGGUACCACAUGAAUAAGCACCGGCUAACUACGUGCCAGCAGCCGCGGUAAUACGUARGGUGCAAGCGUUGUCCGGAUUUAUUGGGUUUAAAGGGUGCGCAGGCGGCUUAUUAAGUUAGUGGUGAAAUCACCCGGCUCAACCGGGUACCCGCCAUUGAUACUGGUAAGCUUGAGUAUGUUCGAGGAGAUUGGAACGUGUAGUGUAGCGGUGAAAUGCAUAGAUAUUACGCAGAACACCAAUUGCGAAGGCAGAUCUCUGGGACAUAACUGACGCUGAGGCACGAAAGCGUGGGGAGCGAACAGGAUUAGAUACCCUGGUAGUCCACGCUGUAAACGAUGAUCACUAGGUGUUCGGAACUUGAUUCUGAGUGCCCAAGCGAAAGCGAUAAGUGAUCCACCUGGGGAGUACGUUCGCAAGAAUGAAACUCAAAUGAAUUGACGGA
rnacentral:rRNA from 1 species